rnacentral:lncRNA from 1 species
UCAAAGGGCCCUUGCAAAGGUUUCCAAGGUGGGUUUCUUCUCUACAUGACCUGGUGAGAAUACGCCUAAAAUGGUCUUCACUCACAGAAGACAACCCAAUUGCAGCCCUUGAAGAUCUCCCAAACUUGAUGGAGCUGCAGUUACUUGAUGCAUACACUGGAGACCAGUUCGAUUUCAACAAGGGAAAAUUUCAGAAGCUUAAGAUAUUAGACCUUGAGAGAUUGGAACGACUGAAGUUUAUCAUAAUGGAAGAUGGCACAUUGCCUUGCCUACAAAAGCUGAUCAUAAGGCAUUGCAAGGAGCUGAAGCAGGUUCCCAUAGGUAUUGACAACCUCAAUCAUCUCAAUGAACUGUUUCUCUGCGAUAUGCCUGAGAAAUUCGUGGCCCAGCUAAGGAAAAAAGUCGGUGAACUUCGCCAUCUGCUUCAUCGUAUUUCGUAUAUUCGUUCAUAUCAAGGCCAGUCGAUGGAAGAUCUUUCAUGAGCCAUGACCAUAUACAGUACAUCUGAGACAUGCACCAGUGCAGCAAGAAUCAGGUCUAUAUAUAUAACAAUGUUAAUUAAGGUGUAAGUUGUUGGGAGAAUUAUCAUAUGGGUGGGCUGAUGUGAUAAGUACUAGGAAGACUUGCUCGUAUCAAGGAUUUUUAGAGCACAAUUUUACUAUUGAAUAUGUUUUCUAUAUUAUUUAUAAAUAAAUUUGAGAUUGCUGGAGUCAUACAUGAUGAUAAGUACAUAUAAUUAAUAGUACAUUUCUCAUGCCUGAAAAAAUAGUUGUUCACUUUUGAACAAUCAAGGGGACUGUUUAAAAAUUUGCUAUUUUUUUUUAAAUUGAAAUUUUUUAAAGAACCUUGUAAAAAAAAUAAUUUUCAAUAUCUCAUAAAUAAAAAUCGUAUCCUAAGGUUAUUAUAUUGUUUUAUAUAUGCAUGGAACAUAUAAUUAAAAACGUUGUUACCAUAAUAGAAUGAAUAAUUAUUUUUUGCAAGCACUCUUCAAUUGAAUAAUAUAUAAAUAUUCAAUUGACUAACAUACACCUAUUAAAUGGAAUAACUCACAAUUAUUCAUUGGGUAAUAUAACACAUGAAAAAAUUAAACAAAAAUAAAUUAAAUUAUGUUGUAAUAUAAUGUAAUAAUAGUGUAUUUGUAUUGUAAGUAUAAUGCAUUUAUGUCAUAUUUAUAUUUCAUUACAAAAUUAAUAAUUCUAAAAAUGCUUAUUUAUACCCUAUUGGUAUUAACACAUCGUAUCAAUAUAUUAACAACAUUUAUCUAGUGUACUGAAAUUAUUUAAUAAUUUUUGUAUAUAAAAAAAAAACUACAAGUCUCGUGAAUUCAAAUUAGUAUUUCAUUUGAUUUUAGACAUUAUUUAUAAUAUAAGUAUGUUAUGAAAUAUGGUAUGAUCAUACAAAAUUAUCAUUUUUAUAAAAAAUUUCAAAAUUUUUUUAAUUAGGUUUUAUUGUAAUGUAAGUGUAUUUAUAUUGUAAUUAUAACACACUAUGGAAAGGAAAAAAAAAAAAGAAAAAAGAAAAAAGAAAAAUCAUAUAAAUUUUUAAAAAUGAUUUUAUUAGAAAAAAUAAAAAAUGAUUAAACAUUCUCCAUCAUUUUCUUAUUCUUUUUAGAUAAUCUAAAUGAAAAAUUAAAUAUUUUAUCUUCCUUGAAUUUAAUACAAAAUCAUAAUUUAUCAAUUUAAAAUUAAUAUAUAUAUAUAUAUAUAUAAAAUUUAUUUUUUUCUUAAUAAAAUUAAAAAUUAGAAUAAAAAAAUGUAAAAAAAAACACAAUAAAUGAUAUUUUGAAAAUAUUUUUGUUUUAAAUAGUAAAUUUAAAUAACAAAUUAUACUAUCAUUAUAUAUAAUAAUUGUAAGGGUUAAACCCAAAAUUUUGAUUUAAAAUUUGAAUAUUAAUAAUUACAAUAAAUGUGGAGUCCACGCACUAUAAAUGUCUUGAUAAAUCAAGUGAAAUACUUUAAAUAUUUUGAAUUUUAAAAGUUUUAGUUAAAGGAUAGUUUUAGCAUUUAAGCCUAGCUAUUAUUGUCCUCUCAAAGAAUUAUUAAAAGAAACCACCACUCUUUUAAUUAUCCCAUCCAGCCCACCCAAUACCGUAAUUCUCCCUAAGUUGUUCUAUUAAUAAGAUGAAUAUAUCUAGUUGUAAGCAUUUAAUUUCUCUAAAAUUUUCAUUAUUUUUAAGUAUUUUGUUUUUAUCUUUUUUAAGUAGUGUGCUCACUGUAUGAUCAAAUUGAUAUAAACUGUCAUGAACAGUAGUCUAUCUCAAGAUCUCUCAAGUCAAGGAUCAAUUUGAAGGAUGUAAUAUGUCGUGUCAAUUAACGAUCAAGCAUUUUCAGAGUGUAUUUGAAAAUUCUUUUUUAAAAUAAUUUUAUAUUUUUACAAAUAGAAAAUAGUUUUUUAACUUAAAAAACAACACAAUUGAUCAAUUUUUGAAAACAGAUUCCGUCCAAAAGGCAACAGUGUCUAACAAAAACAAGUGUGUUUUAUGUAAAUAAGUGAUAUGAAAAGAUACCAAGAAAAGAAUGAAAAAAAUCAUAAAACUUAUAGACAAAACAAUCACCAUGAAGACCUAAUUAUUCACGAUUAAGUCUAUCUUAAAAAUUCAAAUACAUGUAAUUCUCCAUUGCCAAUGAAGUAUGAGAUCACAAACAAGGGAUUUAAUGAAGAUCUCUUUCAAUCUUUGAUUUGAUGUCUUUUACGUUAAAAAUCUUCUAUCAUAUAUGCUUAAUGUCUUCACUUGCACUAAAAAAUGCACAAGGGAGCCAUGUAUCGAAUCUUUGAUUUGUGUUUUUUUGGCAAAGGUACAUAGGGAGUUCUAGGUCCUAAUAUGGUAGGGUGUUAGGUUCCACAUACAAGAAUUCAUUGUUAGUCGUAAGAGUUAUGGCAAGAAAAAUCAUAGUAUGUGUUAAAUUCCAUUUUUUGCGAAUUACAAAUACUAUUGGUAGGAGGCAUUCUAGUCUUAGCAAGACCUUUCCUACAUGGUUGCUUCAUUUUACCUUUUACUCAUGGGUGAGGUAGGCUUUAUUGGGGUGUUGGACUUAUAAUGCUUGAAUUAUUUUUAGAUUAGUUUCGUAUAGAUUAUGAGUUGGGUUAGUAGCUUAUAUAAAAAUUAAUAUUAAUUAAUAAUGGUUUGAUUUGGAUGAGCUUAUAUAUAUAUGAGUUGGGUUUGAUGAACUUACAUAUAAUGAACUAGGUUAUUGGGUUUUGGUUUAUUUUAGUUAUUUUUAGGCUUGAUUGUAAGUACCGACAAUUUUGAGGAAAAAAAAAUGACAAAUCAUAGUUUUAUAAGUAAUAUGUAAUGCACCAAACCCAAUUUAGGGGUAAAAUCGUAAUUUAAAAAUUAUUAAUUAAUUAAAGUAAUUUAAUAAGAAUAAAAAUAUCUUUUUAUAUUUAAAACCCCUAUAUAUAAAUUAUAUUUUUCCUAUAUUCUCUAUUCAGAAAACCCUUUUACACAGAGAGUAUAGGGUUGAAGGUUUGAAGGUUUAGGGUUUGAAGAUCAAUUUUUCAGGUGAGAUUUUUAAUAUUUAAAUUAAUAUUUUAUAUUCGCUAAUUAGUUUUAAACACUUUAGAUAUUCUUUGGAAUAUCUCAAUUUUGAUUAGAGUUCGUUUAAUUAAUUUCUAGAUAAAAAAGAUUAAAAAUUUAUGAGCAUAGUUUGAUUUAUUAAUGGAGAUCAAUAAAUUUUGAUUACUCAAAUAAAUAGAUCUAGAUAAAUUUUUUUUUUUAAAAAUUAUAUAAUUUUGGAUGUGAAAAUUACAUAAAAUUGUGAGUAUGGAGGUUAAAAGUUUUGACUUUAAAGAGGAAAAAAAAAAAUGAAGCGUAGGAAGGAUUUGACAUAUUGAAAAAAAAAAAAAAAAGAAUUGCAUAGGGUAUUUGUUAAGUUUCAGUAGGAGAUUUAAAUAAUAGUAAUAAUAGUUUAAUGUAAAUAAAUAUUCUUAAAAGAUUUAUUUUAGAUAAGUUAGAAAAACUGAAAUAAAUUAUUGUUUAGGAAGUUGAAAAUAAUAUUGGAUGAUAAUAAUAUUAAUAUGAGAAAUUAAUUAGGAUCCCUAAUACUAAAUAAAAUAUUUUUAGAAUUUUCAAAUUUAUAUGUUUGGAUAAAUAAUCAAUAAUCAAUAUCGUGUAUGAUAUUAUGUUAGAUGAAGAGAAAAUUCUUCAGAGUUAAAUACUUCAAGAUUUUGAGUGUUUUUUCAAGGUAAGGGAAAUUAAUGCAAAUUUUUACAGAAGAAAAUAAUUUCCUUUUUAUAUUGUAUUUUGAAAAGUGUAAAAAUAUUAUUUUUAUCUUUUUGCAUGGAUCAAAUAUGUGUUUUGUAUGGAAAAUAUUUUUUUGAGAAUUUUCUUUGUUUAUGAAAAAUGAAAAAAUGAAAGUUUGAAUUAAUGAAAUAAAGUGUUUGACUUUGGUUGCUAUGGCCCUAGUCAACGGGUUAUAAUUGUUGACAUUUGUAUGACCCUAAUCAACGGGUUAUAAUAGUUAAUAUUAUAUGGCCCUAGUCAACGGGUUAUAAUAGUUGACUUUAUGACCUUAGUCAACGGGUUAUAAUUGUUGAUAUUUGGUUUUGUUCAUCUUAACUAGAACAAAUUUGAAACUAGCCACUCAUUUGUGAAGUCUUACCUAAUUGGGCACCAUUUGUUAUUUGAUAACUAGAGUAAAAAUAUUUUGAAUGUAUUUGAUUUGGUUUUGAUGAGAAAUUGUUUUGAAAUGGAUAUGAGAAAGUUUUGUUGAAAAGUUUGAAUGUAUUAGUAUUUUGAAUUCAAAAGUUUUUAUGAAAAUAAGUAUAUGUUAUAUCUUCUAUUUGCAAACACAAUUGAAAAUGUUUGAUUCAUGAAACUGCAUUGAUGUUCCUUAUUGAGCUUUAAACUCAUGUCUCUUUGUUGAUAAUUUUUCAGGUACUUUCAGUUCGGAUAAGGAGUGAUGGCUAGACUUGGGAUUUUUUUUUCUUUGUUAGGAUUUUGGUUCAAACUUUAUUUUUGGACAUGGUUUAAAUGUUAAAAUUUAAUUCCCGUUUAAAUUAUUUGAAUUUGGAGUUAUUUGGACAAUAACACUCUGGUUGAUGUGUUAGUUUUUUUAAAGUUGAUACUUGGAGAUUUUAGAAUUUUGUCCUACUACUCUAAAUAGGAAUUUGGUAAUUGGUAAAUUUCCAGUUACAAUAUGAAUGUUUGUGUCAUUUCCACUUUAAGCCUUUGGGUUUGAGGUGUAAAAUGACCAUCAUGCCCUUGAAGUGGAUUUUGGGUCGUGACAGUUUUUGUAACGACCCACACUCAACCAUGUAUAUAUUGUCCGCUUUGAGCCCAAACCCUCAUGUCUUUAAAACGCGUUUACUUGGUUAAAAAGAGCAUCUACAUAUAUAGCGCCAGAAACAUUCUCCCCUAUCCAAUGCGGGACAUCACAAACACCCCCUAUACAGACACAACGUCCUCGUUAUGUCUCAUGGGAUUGCGGGGCCAAAUAGACAAACACCUCUUAUGGGGCCAAACAAACCCCCACACCGGGGUCGGGGAUCGGCUCUGAUACCAUUUGUAAUGACCCACUCCCAACCGUAUAGAUAUUGUCCGCUUUGGACCCAAAGGGCCCUCACGACUUUAAAAGUCGUCUACUUGGUUAGGAGAAGCCUUUACAUAUAUAGCGUUAGGAACUUUUCCCCAUAUCCGAUGUGGGAUGUCACAAACACCCCUCCAUGCAAACACAACGUCCUCGUUGUGUCCCACGGGAUUAUGGGGCCAAACAGGCAAACACCACUUACGGGGCCAAACAAACCCCCACACCGAGGUCGGGGAUUGACUUUGAUACCAUUUGUAACGACCUGCUCCAAACUGUAUAGAUAUUAUCCGCUUUGGACCCAAAUGGGUCCUCACGACUUUAAAAUGCAUCUACUUGGUUAAGAGAAGCCUCUACAUAUAUAGCGUUAGGAACUUUCCUCCUUAUCUGAUGUGGGAUGUCACAUAAUAUAUAUAGAUAUAAUUGAUAUGUGACAUUAACUUUAGGUGGAUUCACUACAAUUAAUUUUAAAAUUAACAAGUUAAGGUGAUAUUUGUUUUUUUACUUUUUCGUGACUUAUUAUAAACUUUUUACUAAAUAGAAAAAAAUCAAAAUAUGUAACUUUUUCUAAAUAGAAAAAAUAACAUAUUAAUUUUUCUUUACUUUUUAAUACUUAAUAAAAAUAAAAUACUACAAAAACAAAUAAUAUAAUAUUUAACAUUAUUAAACAUUAAGGUUCUAUUUAAAAUUAAGUAAAAAAACAAAUAUCACCUAAGUGUGCUUCAAGUUGUCAAAGCUUUUAUCGGGACUAACUCAAAUCUCUAUCAAAUCUCAUGGAACAGCCAACAAAUAAAUUGUUAGAUUCCUCCAUAUAUUUACCAUUGCCCCUUUCUAAGAUUUUUUUUUUUUUUUCUUCCAAUUUACUGUAGAGGUUAAAAAACCCUUCCUUUUCAAAAUCAAUGUUUGGGUCCUAUGCCUAGCUUCAGAGCAAUAACAACACGGAGAGGACCGGGUCUUAUGUUGAUUUUUAAGCUCUAUGUGACUCAUUGGUGGACUCUUUUUUUCCUUUUGGUAUCCAAUAGAAGAGACCCGGCAAUUUACGUGUUUGGUUGGAGUAGAUGAACCCAAGGCCUUGUGAGCAUCCACCUGGUUCAAUCUCCAUCGUAUAAAUUUUAAAAGCCACGCAAUUCAGAAUUUUCAACCAUGGAAGACGGCACGCUUUACAUUGUACGAAGGCCAAAGUCAAAGGGCUGAUCACAUGGAACUUUCAGACUGGAUUUUUCUUGAGAAAAUAUUUGGACGAAGCUAGGAAGGCGGCCAUAUUACCAUAUUGUCUUUGCUAAAUUGCAUAUAAUUACUAUGGAACCAUUUCCAAAUGAAUAAGUUGUGUUUCAAAAGUUGUAUAACCAAAAACUUUUAUUACGAACUAAGUCAAUACUCCACUAAAUUCAAGGGAUUGUCAGAUUCAGUUUACAGCAGAAAAGAAAAAUUCAAUUAAUCUUGUUAAAACACAGGACAAGAUUAAUUCUAUGUGAACCAGUGACAUGAAGAGAUACCUUUAGAUAGCUAGAUUGCCUUCAACUUUUGAGAGAAAACGUGUGGGUUACACAUAUUUAUACGAAUUUUCUGUGUUCUUGCAGUUUAACGUUUGUGAAUGUUAUUCAAAAGGAGAAUUAGUCUGGUCUGAAGAGAUGAAAGAAUGGUAUUCCUGCUUGGCAAGUUGGAUGGUGGGAUUUCCAUGUGUUGACUUGGUCUGCCUUACUGGUGAUAAAUUCAAGUCAUGUCUUCACAUCAAAUAUCAUACUGAUCAAGGAGUGUGUACUCAUAAUCAUAAUACUGUUGCAGCAAUUUGUAGAUUUGAGAGAAAAGAGAGAGAUCAUGGCCGACUCAGAAAUAGCUGGGGGGGUUGUAGCCGGUUCUGUGAUCUUUCUUCUGAAAAAACUUGAUGCUAUUGUAACUAGAGAAGGGAACUUGCAGGGAAAUAAUAAGAAAAGAGUCCAGGACUUACGCCACGAGCUGCGGAGCAUUGAGGCCCUCCAGAAAGAUAUCGAUGCUGACCCAAAGAAAGAGCAUGAUUGUUGAGAAAAAUUUGGAUAUAAUGGAGAAAGGAAACACUCUCACACACUCACUUUGAUACAAUAAAACUCUCUUAGAUACAAAAUAAGAACAAGAAGAAGAAGAACACAAGAAAGGCUCAAACAAGUUCUUGGAACUUUGUCCAAAGACUCUAUUUCCUCCCACCUCUAGAAAUCUUUUUGGGAACUAAAUGGAAAUAGUCUUGGGAUUGAUCAAGCCUUUUCACUUUUCUGCAUGAGAUUUCAAAAAGAAGAAAAGUCAUAUAUAUAGCACUCUUAGGGUUGAAAAAAGGUUACAAGGAUGAGAAAAAACUCAUUGUCUUCCUCAAUCUUUUCAAGUUUUGUAACAUUUCAAAACUUAAUCAUGUGUUUAAUUCACACAUUAAAAGUGUAACCCUUCUUACACUUUAUUUUCCAAAAGUUAUUUUCAAAAGUGUAACUCUUCUUACACUUUAUUUUUUAACCAACAAUAUAUAUAUAUAUAUAUAUAUAUAUAUAUAUAUAUAUAUAUAUAUAUAUAUAUUAUAUAAUAUAACAUCCCCCNNNNNNNNNNNNNNNNNNNNNNNNNNNNNNNNNNNNNNNNNNNNNNNNNNNNNNNNNNNNNNNNNNNNNNNNNNNNNNNNNNNNNNNNNNNNNNNNNNNNNNNNNNNNNNNNNNNNNNNNNNNNNNNNNNNNNNNNNNNNNNNNNNNNNNNNNNNNNNNNNNNNNNNNNNNNNNNNNNNNNNNNNNNNNNNNNNNNNNNNNNNNNNNNNNNNNNNNNNNNNNNNNNNNNNNNNNNNNNNNNNNNNNNNNNNNNNNNNNNNNNNNNNNNNNNNNNNNNNNNNNNNNNNNNNNNNNNNNNNNNNNNNNNNNNNNNNNNNNNNNNNNNNNNNNNNNNNNNNNNNNNNNNNNNNNNNNNNNNNNNNNNNNNNNNNNNNNNNNNNNNNNNNNNNNNNNNNNNNNNNNNNNNNNNNNNNNNNNNNNNNNNNNNNNNNNNNNNNNNNNNNNNNNNNNNNNNNNNNNNNNNNNNNNNNNNNNNNNNNNNNNNNNNNNNNNNNNNNNNNNNNNNNNNNNNNNNNNNNNNNNNNNNNNNNNNNNNNNNNNNNNNNNNNNNNNNNNNNNNNNNNNNNNNNNNNNNNNNNNNNNNNNNNNNNNNNNNNNNNNNNNNNNNNNNNNNNNNNNNNNNNNNNNNNNNNNNNNNNNNNNNNNNNNNNNNNNNNNNNNNNNNNNNNNNNNNNNNNNNNNNNNNNNNNNNNNNNNNNNNNNNNNNNNNNNNNNNNNNNNNNNNNNNNNNNNNNNNNNNNNNNNNNNNNNNNNNNNNNNNNNNNNNNNNNNNNNNNNNNNNNNNNNNNNNNNNNNNNNNNNNNNNNNNNNNNNNNNNNNNNNNNNNNNNNNNNNNNNNNNNNNNNNNNNNNNNNNNNNNNNNNNNNNNNNNNNNNNNNNNNNNNNNNNNNNNNNNNNNNNNNNNNNNNNNNNNNNNNNNNNNNNNNNNNNNNNNNNNNNNNNNNNNNNNNNNNNNNNNNNNNNNNNNNNNNNNNNNNNNNNNNNNNNNNNNNNNNNNNNNNNNNNNNNNNNNNNNNNNNNNNNNNNNNNNNNNNNNNNNNNNNNNNNNNNNNNNNNNNNNNNNNNNNNNNNNNNNNNNNNNNNNNNNNNNNNNNNNNNNNNNNNNNNNNNNNNNNNNNNNNNNNNNNNNNNNNNNNNNNNNNNNNNNNNNNNNNNNNNNNNNNNNNNNNNNNNNNNNNNNNNNNNNNNNNNNNNNNNNNNNNNNNNNNNNNNNNNNNNNNNNNNNNNNNNNNNNNNNNNNNNNNNNNNNNNNNNNNNNNNNNNNNNNNNNNNNNNNNNNNNNNNNNNNNNNNNNNNNNNNNNNNNNNNNNNNNNNNNNNNNNNNNNNNNNNNNNNNNNNNNNNNNNNNNNNNNNNNNNNNNNNNNNNNNNNNNNNNNNNNNNNNNNNNNNNNNNNNNNNNNNNNNNNNNNNNNNNNNNNNNNNNNNNNNNNNNNNNNNNNNNNNNNNNNNNNNNNNNNNNNNNNNNNNNNNNNNNNNNNNNNNNNNNNNNNNNNNNNNNNNNNNNNNNNNNNNNNNNNNNNNNNNNNNNNNNNNNNNNNNNNNNNNNNNNNNNNNNNNNNNNNNNNNNNNNNNNNNNNNNNNNNNNNNNNNNNNNNNNNNNNNNNNNNNNNNNNNNNNNNNNNNNNNNNNNNNNNNNNNNNNNNNNNNNNNNNNNAAAGAUCACUAUGUAUUAAAUCAAGCAAAUUAGAUGAUCUCUCAACACUAUGAAAAGGCUUUUUAAUCAUCUUUGAUUUAACACAUAUUUCACACUUUUCAAAAUUUCUUGGUAUCACAAGCAAUCAAACCGCAUUUCACAAUCCUUUUAAUAGUGCUUAAACCAACAUGUGCAAGCCUAUUAUGCCACAAAAUUAAAGAAUUUGAAUCACACAUAUAAGCGGAAGUAGACGUCAUUUUAUUGAUAUUGUCAUUGGUACUAAGUUUGAUCAUCCCAUCACAAGAAUACCCCUUUCCCACAAAGUUCCCCGAUUUGGUUAAAAUUAGCUUACCGGAUUCAAACACCGCUUUGAUACCCGGUUUGCCAAGCAAAUCCCCACUAACCAAAUUUUUAUUCAUAUCGGGGACAUACAAUACAUUUUUAAGGGUAACCUUUUUGCCGGAGGUAAAAACAACUUCAAUAGUGCCCUUGCCAAACACCUUGGAUUUUCCUUCAUUGCCCAUUUGAACCUCUUGAUCUCCCUUUGCAUCUUCAAAGGUCUUGAAAAGAGAUUUGUCAUAGGUAACAUGAACUGUGGCACAAGUAUCAUACCACCAUCUUUGCACCUUUCCUUGGACAACGCACACAUCGCUUAGUGUUGCAAUGAUCUCCUCAUCAAUUGCAUUCACCACAGCCCCUUUUUGGUCCUUUCGGAACCUACACUCCCUAGCAUAAUGCCCGGGUUUUCCACAUACAAAACAAGGACCUUUCUUGCCCUUAAAUUGCUCUUGAUUUUUCUUGGGGCUCAUAUAAUUUCCGGAAUUCUUUUUGUUGUUGUUAUUUUUACCUCUAGAAUGAUUGGCCUUUGAAAUCGCAUUGGCUUUGUUAGUCCCACCAUUGGACUCUUCCACCAUUUUGUCUCUUGAUCUCGAUUCUUCCUCAAUGCGAAGAUGUUUUUGAAUCUCUUCCAAAGAGUAAUCUUCACUCUUGUGGAGAAUCCUCUUCCGGUAACCUUUCCAACUUGAUGGUAAUUUAGCCACAAUAGCACCAACUUGGAAGGCCUUCGGAAGUUCAAUUUUGAGAACUUUCAACUUAUUCACAAUUACUUGCAACUCAUGAAUUUGUGGUAAGAGAGGCUUUUCAUCAAAAAAUUUGAAAUCUAUGUAUUGAGAAAUAAGAAACUUUUUGGUACCUUCUUCCUCGGCUUUGUACUUGUUUUCAAGAGCCUCCCAAAUCUCCCUCGCGGAAUUGGUGUUGGUGUAGAGAUCAUAUAGCCUAUCGGAUAAGGCGUUCAAAAUAUGACCCCUACAUAUGAGCUCAUCCUCCUCCCUUUUCUUCCUUGCCGCCACCACUUGAGGUGUGUCAUUUUCCUUUGGUUCCGGUAAUGGUGCCAAGGUAGGAUCAAGGAUGUAGAAAAUCUUGAGUGCUGUGAGAAGGAAUCUCACCUUGUCUUGCCACCUAGUGAAGUUGGAACCAUCAAAACGAUCCAACCUCACAAGGUCUUGGUUCAUAAUCUUGAUAGUUUCUCCCUCCAUUGAGAUUAGAGUCUUUGAUUGUUGAGAAAAAUUUGGAUAUAAUGGAGAAAGGAAACACUCUCACACACUCACUUUGAUACAAUAAAACUCUCUUAGAUACAAAAUAAGAACAAGAAGAAGAAGAACACAAGAAAGACUCAAACAAGUUCUUGGAACUUUGUCCAAAGACUCUAUUUCCUCCCACCUCUAGAAAUCUUUUUGGGAACUAAAUGGAAAUAGUCUUGGGAUUGAUCAAGCCUUUUCACUUUUCUGCAUGAGAUUUCAAAAAGAAGAAAAGUCAUAUAUAUAGCACUCUUAGGGUUGAAAAAAGGUUACAAGGAUGAGAAAAAACUCAUUGUCUUCCUCAAUCUUUUCAAGUUUUGUAACAUUUCAAAACUUAAUCAUGUGUUUAAUUCACACAUUAAAAGUGUAACCCUUCUUACACUUUAUUUUCCAAAAGUUAUUUUCAAAAGUAUAACCUCUUGUACACUUUNNNNNNNNNNNNNNNNNNNNNNNNNNNNNNNNNNNNNNNNNNNNNNNNNNNNNNNNNNNNNNNNNNNNNNNNNNNNNNNNNNNNNNNNNNNNNNNNNNNNAAAAACUCUCUUUGAUACAAAAUAAGAACAAGAAGAAGAAGAACACAAGAAAGACUCAAACAAGUUCUUGGAACUUUGUCCAAAGACUCUAUUUCCUCCCACCUCUAGAAAUCUUUUUUGGGAACUAAAUGGAAAUAGUCUUGGGAUUGAUCAAGCCUUUUCACUUUUCUGCAUGAGAUUUCAAAAAGAAGAAAAGUCAUAUAUAUAGCACUCUUAGGGUUGAAAAAAGGUUACAAGGAUGAGAAAAAACUCAUUGUCUUCCUCAAUCUUUUCAAGUUUUGUAACAUUUCAAAACUUAAUCAUGUGUUUAAUUCACACAUUAAAAGUGUAACCCUUCUUACACUUUAUUUUCCAAAAGUUAUUUUCAAAAGUAUAACUCUUCUUACACUUUAUUUUUUAACCAACAAUAUAUAUAUAUAUAUAUAUAUAUAUAUAUAUAUAUAUAUAUAUAUAUAUAUAUAUAUAUAUAUUUAUAUAAAUAUAACAACAUGAUCACCGAUUCCAAGUCUGGAUUCAAGAUGUUCGGGAAGAAGCUUAUGACAUUGAGGAUGUCAUUGACCUGCUCAGUCUUGAUAUGACUCAAGAAUCAGCCCGGCGCCGCUGGAAAAUGAGACACUCCAUCAACGACUUGAUAGAGAAGAUUAACAGGAGUCUGGAAAACAGUCAGAAGAUACAGGAGAGGUAUCAGAAGCUGGUCUCCACUCCAACCAAUGCUGUCAACAACACAUAUCCUCAUGAGAAACUAGCUUCUUUGUUCCUUGGCAACGUUGACACUGUGGGCAUGGAGGAGCCCCGAAAUAAGCUCGUUUCUUGGGUGUUGGAGCCGAAGCAGAGACUUAAGAUGAUGUUCGUGGUGGGGAUGGCUGGAUUGGGGAAGACGACUCUCGUCCACAGCGUGUAUGAGAGGGUGAAGCAGCGCUUUGAUUCCCAUGUCUGGAUCACUGCUUCAGAGUCCAAAACCAAACUCGAAAUCUUAUUGAGCUUGUUAGCAAAGAAAUUUGGCUGUUCAAUUACACCGGGGGCAGACAUGGUUGCUGUAACUCACGAACUGCAAAAAUUUCUCCGCAACAAACGGUAUGUUAUGGUUAUUGAUGAUUUUUGUGUAAAAGAUGUGUGGGAAUCCAUUAGACUUGCAUUACCAGAUGGUAACAACAGUAGAAUAAUUAUCACUACAAGGAGAGGCGACAUAGCUAAUUCUUGCAGAGAUGAUGAUUCUAUUCAUAUCCACAAGCUCCAGCCACUGUCUUGGGAAAAUGCUAAGCGGCUCUUCCAUACUAAAGCUUUCUCAAGAAAUAGCAGAUGUCCUUCAGGCUUGGAGGAACUGUCCCAAUCCAUCUUACAGAAAUGUGAUGGAUUACCACUUGGGAUUAUUGAGAUUGGCAGACUCUUGAAGAGUAAGGCUCAAACUGCAUAUGAGUGGCAAAAGUUACACGAUAACCUUGAAUCUGAAUUGAGAAGCGGUGGUGGCCUUUCCAAUAUGAUGAAAGUGCUGUCUACAAGUUACAAAGAUUUACCUUACCAUCUCAAGUGUUGUUUCUUGUACAUGGGCAUCUUUCCUGAAAAUAAACCAGUUAAGCGAAGAAGACUGGUUCGGCUGUGGAUAGCUGAGAGAUUUGUAACAGAGGAGAGAGGCAAAACUCUUGAAGAGGUUGGGGAAGAGUACCUGAAUGAGCUGAUUGACAGGAGUCUGAUACAGGCAAAUGAAAUGGAUUUUGAUGGAAGGCCCAAAAGUGUAGGAGUUCAUUGUCUCAUGCAUAAGAUGAUUCUCUCACUCUCACAUGAGGAGAACUUUUGUACUCUACAUUGUACAGGAGCAAAAAAGAACUUUACUGAGAAAACCCGGCGCCUAUCUAUCCAGAAGAAAGACUUUGAUAUUUCUCAGGAGUUGCCCCGUCUUCGAACCUUCUUCAGUUUCAGUACAGGUAGGGUAAACAUUCGUUGGAUUAAUUUCCUACGACUGAGGGUUUUGGAUAUACAGGGCACUUCAUUGGGAGCCUUCCCGAGUGUAACAACAGAUCUUCUCCUCUUGAGGUACUUGAGUUUGAGGAAUACAGAUAUAAGAAGCAUCCCCGAAACCGUGAGUAACCUAAAGCAGCUUGAGACCUUGGAUCUCAAGCAAACUCGGGUGAAAAAGCUACCCAAAUCAGUCCUACAACUUGGGGAACUUCGCCAUUUGCUGGUUUGUCGCUACAAUAAUGGACGUGUUGUCUCUUUUGAUGCUGUUCAGGGGUUCAAGGUUCCAAAAAAGAUCAGUGCAUUGAAGAACCUACAAAAGCUAUCAUUUGUAAAGGCGAGAUGGCAGUACAGAAUGAUAGAGGAGCUCCAACAUUUGACACAGUUGAGGAAGCUGGGCAUUGUAGCACUAGAAAAAGAAGAUGGAAAGAGCUUGUGCGACUCAAUUGAAAAGAUGCGAAAUCUCCAUUCCUUGAAUGUGACUUCCCUUAAUCAGGAGGAGCCUCUGCAGCUUGAUGCAAUGACUAAUCCUCCGCCCUUUCUGCAACGCUUGCAUCUCAAAGGGCCCCUACCAAGGUUUCCAAAGUGGGUAUCUUCUCUACAUGACCUGGCGAGAAUACGCCUAAAUUGGUCUUCGCUGUCAGAAGAUAACCCGGUUGAAGCUCUUCAAGAUCUCCCAAAUCUGAUGGAGCUGCAGUUGCUUGAUGCAUACACUGGAACCCAGUUGGAGUUUCACAAGGGAAAAUUUCAGAAGCUUAAGAUAUUAGACCUUGUGCAAUUGAAACUGAGGUUUAUCAGAAUGGAAGAUGGAACAUUGCCCUGCCUGCAAAAGCUGAUAAUAAGGAAAUGCAGCGAGCUGGAGCGGGUCCCUGUUGGUAUCGACGACCUCAUUCAUCUCCAAGAGCUGCUCCUCUGCGAUAUGCCUGAGAAAUUCGUGACCCAGCUGAAGAAAAAAGGCGGUGAACUUCGCCAUCUCCUUCACCGUAUUUCACAUAUUGGUUCAUACAAAGAGGGCAAGUUGGUGGAAGAUCUUUCAUGACCGAUGGGUACAAGAAUCUGGUCCGUAUAACAUAAUGGAUUCCUUAAAAUGUAUUGAUGUUGGAUUUCUAUUUCUUUACUAGCAUUCCUGCAUUUUCCUAUAGUUACUAUAUAUGGUGCAAUAGCAUUUGUACGCAGAUCAGCUUUAGUUGUGUGUUCGGAACUCUCAUUGUUGAGAUGAUUUCUGUAAGGUUGAUUGUUUUUUACCUUUUUUUUUUUCCUGUAAAAAGAAAGUUAAUUGUUGAAUGCAUCUAGUUAUAUUUUCUCAAAAGUUUUUAUUAAUUUUGAAUUUUUAGUAUUUUGAAUAACGUAUUAUCAUGAGUGCAAGGGCAUAGAAUAUGACCUCUAGUACCUCAAAAUUAAGAAGAAAUUAAUUCUAGAAAUACCUCAAUCUAAAACACAUAUAACAAAGAAAAGGAGAAGAAUGUGGCAGAGAAGGCAAUCCAGAUGGCACCUAUUUUAGAUAGCCCAAAGAAUGUGGUAGGCAGGGCAACAAGUGCCAACAUUAUGAAGAAUUUUCACCAUUGGAAAACAUUUCAAAAAUCCUAUUAAACAAGGAGGAGAGCUUCCAACAUUUUCAAAUGCCCAAAAACAAUUUUUCGAUUAAAUCAAUUUAGGAAACAAAGGAGCAAAAUGACAUUUGAAUGCCUAGGAAUGUUUGAACAAAAUGUUCUAACAAUCUCUCAUGUGACAAUUUUGUGAUAAAAUAUAAAGAUAUAACAAUUUUCAUGUGACUCGUAAAAGCCUCAUUGAACCCAAAAAUAAAGAUAGGAUUGGGUUAUGACCAAGUAUAAAUGUUUGUCGUGUUGGACUUGGCCCAAAAAUCUUAGACGAGCUUGGCUUGAGUUCUAGAAAUAUUGGCAUCCAUGGUACAAUUUUAUGCAAAUAUUGGAAGAAAUAUUGAUAUUGAUGAAAAUUUGGUAAAAAAAAUAAAAUCAUAAAAAUGGAUUACAUCUAUAUGAUUUUGGAGGAAAGUUUAAUAAAAGAUAAUAUAGUUUAUAAUACAUGUAUUAAACUUGUCACUAUCAAACUUUGACCAGUCAAACUGGUUUGUAUCUGGGAGCUAGGGGGGCUGCACUAGGCCUUUUGGAAAAAGGUCGGAAUGGGUUGCCCACCAUACUUCCAAACCAACCAUUUGGCAUGUCACUUGUUAUAUUAAUUAAUGACCUAUAAUAAAUAUAUUGGUUAAUUAUUCAGGAUAUAGUCAAAUUCCAGGUUUAUUUACUGUAAAAAUACAUUAAAGAUUACAAAUGAUAAAAUAUAAAGUUAAUGAAAUUGUGUACCCCGUAUUUCGGCUCAAUGCGUUUUCCACUCGAAUGGCGAGCUCUCGAUUUUUAUUUUAAAAAAAAUGAUUUAUAUUGAUUAAGAAAAUGACUUGGAGUUGCCACUUAUUUUUGUUUUAUUUUUUGAAGGGUAAACAAAAUAAGAAAGAAAACCUUAAGUGUGACUCCUUAUUUGGAAAAUGUGAUAUGCGAAAAACCGAAUCGGGUUCGGGGGUCAGGUUACUUAUUAGGAAGGUACGGUAAAGACCGUAGCACCCCUCUAAGUCCCUAAAACGGGUCUCUACUAAUAAAAUGAAGCUGAUAUGACAAUUGAUGAGAAAAUAAAUGAAUACUCGAUUUGAUCAUGCACACAUGAGUAUCAGAAUAUACAUAGAGAAUAACCAAAGUGGAAGUGGAUGCGUACCUGAUCAGCAAAUGGCAACGCGCUAUCACAAAUUAGGGUUAGUGCAUAGUAAUGAACAUAAAGUAUAUCACUCAUAUCACCCAACUAGAUAAAGGAGCACCAAUAUCAUGUAUGGUAUUUCAUUCAAUUCCAUUUUUAUUUUAAAGGAAAUUUAUUUGAUGUCGGGCCCCCACCAUAGCCCGUUUAUUUUGCAUGGACUAAUUCCAUAAAUUCCAUCAUUUGGAAUUACAGAAUUUGACUUUUGUUUAUUUCAAAACAAUUUAAAAUGAGAAAUUAUAUGGAAAAUGGGAGUCUUGGGACCUAAAAAUAAAUCUAAGGAUGAAAAUUUGAAAAACAAAAUUGUUUGAAGGAUUUGGAAAUUGGAAAAUUAUUUAAGAAAAUAAGAAUUUAAAAAAUAGUAAUCAUUUGAGAGCUAAGGGUGUGAGAAACCACUUAUGAAAACAGAAUAACGAUGGAGAAGUGGGAACGUCGGCCGGACAGAAUUCCGGAUGUGAGAUAUCCGGAGAAGGUUGAACGUCGGCGGGACAGAAUUCCGGAUGUGAGAUAUCCGGGUGAAAUUUCGGCGGAGAAGAAUUCCGGAUGUGAGAUAUCCGGAGAAGGUGGAACAUCGGCUGGACAGAAUUCCGGAUGUGAGAUAUCCAGGUGGAAUGUCGGCGGGGAAGAAUUCUGGAUGUGAGACAUCCGGAUAAGGCAGAAUGUUGGCCAGACAGAAUUCCGAAUGUGAGACGUCUGGGUGGAAUGAGUGAGAAUUUCUGUCCGGGUGGAAUGAGCGGUGCCACGUAUUGCGAGGGGCUGUCUGCGUGUCUAAGGGAGAAGGAGCCACGCGACAAUUUUUAGGGAGGAUCCCACAUACACAUGGGUAUUGAUGAUGAGUUAAACGAGCAUGAAAGGUGAGAAUAUGGUAGUGAUUAAUUCCCCUUCUUUCCACAAAUUCAAAUACUAGCUUCCUACAUCAUCUUGAGACAUCACCUCCCGGUAUGAGAUGCGCGGGGGUUUACGCAUGAUGAAGAUAAACGGGAAUAGGAGUGGAGUGAUGGAUGGGGGCGUGGACAUGUUGGAUAAAACGAUGAAUAAUAAGCAAGAAUGGGUAUGGGGAUGCUGAUGAGGUGGGUUUUGCUGCCAUGACAACUACUCCAGAUUUCCUAGGAUCUCCUUCAAGCAGGGAUGAGAAAAUGGAUGCGUACCAUGGACGGAUAUCAAGAGUAGAGGAGGAUAACAAAACAGAGCACAAAGAGUAGAUACAAGAAAAUGAGCCCGACAAGCUAUGCUUCAUAUUAUACCCACAGGCUUAGACGAUGGUGAGUAAGAUUAAAUGAGUAUCAGAUGAAAGGUAAAACGUGGUUACAAAAAUAUCUCAUGGAGAAAUCAAAACCAAAGCAAACUAAACCACUACAAAAUCAUUAGCAAAAAUAUGAACGUAUUCACUCCCAAUCAACAAACAUCAUCCGAGAAUCAGUAAAAACAAAGUAGAAAAGCACACCAUUAGAAGCUGAUGAAGAAUACACAAUAAAUGUACCUCAAAAUAACUCUCUCCAGCUAGGUGGGCAAGAAAUCGGACAGCUAUCCUUCCUCUCAAGCAACCAGCCAAGGAAAUCCCCCUUUCCCACUAGUCCUCUCAAGCUAAACUCCCCCCAGCUUCUCUUCUGUUUUCUCCUCCUUUCUUCUUCCUUUUUUCUUUUUAGAAAACCUCCUUUAUUUUUCGGAUUUGCCUUCCCAACGAUCUCUGCUGCAGCUACCUUUUCUACCCCACCUCUUCUGCAGCCACCUUUUCUGUCCCAAUUCUUCUGCAGCCGCCUAACGGCCUGCGGGACUCCCCUCCAGAAAGUUUCUCCACGUGUCAAAGUCCUACCGCAGCUUCAAAAAGCGAGGUUGAUUCCUUAUGGCCACUAAGGAUGUGACACGUGGCCCGCUGGGAUAGUGACACCUGGCUAAAAAUGUGACCUGCAAAAACAAAUAGAGAAAAAGUGACCCAUACCUAAACAUAUUAAUACACAUUUAAUCUAUCUAUGUUAUAUAUAAAAGUCUAUAGACUCAUAGGUGUUUGUAUUCUUUUAUGUUCUUAAACUGCAUCUUUCAUAUUAACAAAGUUUAAUUUUUCUUGUCUGAGGGAUUUAAGAAUUAUAUUUAGUAUUUUUGCAGUCAAUGAAUGUGUCACCACAUGUAUUGAACUUUUGCUCAAAUUCAUCAAAUGGAACUUCAAAAACCAACAACUUGUUUAUGCGAAACCAAAAGAUUGAAUAUUUCCUGGGUGGAUUUUUGGGAACUGAUCACACACACACAAGAAAUCUCCAUCAAGCUAGCUGUAUUCUCAGUGAAUAUUUCCUAGGUGGAUUUAAGAGUGCUUGUGGUCAUUCAAUAAGGUUAAUAAAUUGUCUGGAGGAAGCAGUAAAAUGAUCCUCUAAGUGUGAUCAUAUACAGCGGUGUGCUUGGAAAUAUUCAAAGUCUUCCCAAUGGGGAUCUUGAUUUAUAUGUAAUGCUAGUGUUCACAAUAUUUAUCACAUUGACUGCUGAAUUCUUUUGGAAGUAUACAUGGAUGUGGCAUUCAUGAGUAGUUAAAAUCAGUGUUUUCAGGGGGCCUACGCCAAGCUUCCAAGCAACAGCAAUGUGGAGAAGACAGCGUCCAAGUCUCUAUUAAUUAAAUUCAUGCGACACUUGUAUUCAGCAUGACGUCUACAAAGGAGGAAAAAACCCUGUGAACCUGUGACAUGAAAAUAUUCAUUAAUUUUGCUAGAUAACUAGACUAAUUACCUUCAACUUUUGAGAGAAGACUUUGCUGGGUUACUUGAAUUGAUUCUCAAGAACACUGAGGUUGAGUUAUUCCCAUUCUGUAUCUGCAAGUUGAGAAGAUCCGUCCCUAACAAUCCAAUCACCGAGGUCUUCAUUUGCCACCUUACAGAUUUUAUGUGCUCUUAUCUUUGAACAUGGCAGCCCCCAGGUGAUUAUCAUUUAUCUACACACAGAAAUUCUAAGACAUUUCUGUGUGAUCGCUGUAUGAUUAGAUUGGUCUGAAGAGUCAAUAGAAAUUGUUAAUGGUGGGCACGUUGUUAUUGCAGGUGGAUUUCCAAGCAUUUGACUUGGUCUGUACGAAUAAUAAACUCAAUUCUCACAUAGAGUCAUUGCAAAGAGUAGAAGACUACUGCAUUUGAAUUUUGAAAGAAAUUGAAGAGGAAGAGCACGAACCCAGGUCUAGCUGAGGGAUGGCAGAUGGGGCUGUGUCGUUUCUUCUUCAAAAUCUUGAAGCUUUUGCAACUAGAGAAUGGAACUUGCAGGAACAUAUCAGGAAUGGAGUCCAUAACUUAAAAAGGGAACUGCGGAGCAUAGAGGCCCUGAUGAGGGAUGCUGAUGCAAAGAAAGAGCAUGAUCACCAAUUCAAAGUGUGGAUUCAAGAAGUUCGCACAGAAGCUUAUGCCAUUGAGGAUGUUCUUGACCUAUUCAGACUCCACCGGGAUCAAGAAUCAGUGUGGAGCCACUUGAAAAUGCGGCACUCCAUUGGCAACCUGAUACAGGAUAUUAACACAAGGCUCGUGAUCAUUAAGCAGACAAAGGAGAGGUAUCAGAUCAUGGUCUCCACUUCAAUUAGCGCUGAAACCAACGCAUACCUUAAUGUGAGAGUAGCUCCUUUGAUCAUCGGCAGGGGCGAUAACAUCCUGGGCAUCGAUGAGCCUAAAAGGAAGCUGGUUUCUUGGGCAUUGGAGUCGAAUCAGAAACUCAAGGUUAUGUUCGUGGUGGGGAUGGCUGGACUGGGGAAGACAACGCUCGCCCGCAGCGUGUACGAGAUGGUGAAGGAGCACUUUGAUUGCCAUGCCUGGAUCAUUGCUUCAAAGUCCAAAACCAAACCUGAAACUUUACGGAGCUUGUUGGAGCACCUUGGCUGUUCGACAGAGGGGUCCAACAUAGUUAUUCUGAUGCAUAGACUGCAAAAUUUUCUCCAGCCCAAACGGUAUGUUAUAGUUGUUGACGAUUUAUGGGUAAAAGAUGUGUGGGAAUCCAUUAGACUUGCCUUGCCAGAUGGUAACAACAAUAGAAUAAUUAUCACUACAAGAAGAGGCGAUAUAGCUAAUUCUUGUAGAGAUGAUGAUUCUAUUGAUAUCCACAAGGUUCAGCCACUGUCACCGCAAUGGGCUGAGCAACUCUUCUAUAAGAAAGCUUUCUCAAGAAAUGGCAGAUGUCCUUCAGGCUUGGAGGAAGUCUCCAAAUCCAUCUUACAGAAAUGUGAUGGAUUACCACUUGGGAUUAUUGAAAUCGGUAAGCUGUUGUGGGGUAAGCGUCAAAGUACAUACGAGUGGAAAAAAUUAGAUGAUAGCCUUGAGUCUGAAUUGAGAAGCGGUGGUGGCCUUUCAGAUAUAAUGAGAGUGCUUUCUGCAAGUUACAAUGAUUUACCUUACCAUCUCAAGUAUUGCUUCUUAUACAUGAGUAUUUUUCCUGAGAAUAAUCCAGUUAAGCGAAGAAGACUGAUUCGGCUAUGGAUAGCUGAGGGAUUUGUAACAGAGGAGAGAGGCAAGACUCUUGAAGAGGUGGGGGAAGAGUACCUGAAUGAGCUUAUUGGUAGGAGUCUCAUAAAGGCAAAUGAAAUGGACUUUGAUGAAAGACCAAUAACUGUUGGAGUCCAUAGUCUCAUGCAUAGGAUAAUUCUCUCGGUUUCACAAGUGGAGAACUUUUGUACUGUUUGUGCAGGACCAGAAGGAAACUUGGCUGACAAACCCCGACGCCUAUCCAUCCAGACGGGAAACUUUGAUGUGUCUCAGGACUUAACCUGUGUUCGAACUUUUUUCAGUUUCAGUACAGGUAGGGUAAACAUUGGUUCGAAUUUCAAACUAUUGAAGGUUUUGGACAUACAAAGCACUCCUUUGGAAAACUUUCCAAGUGCCAUUACAGAUCUUCUGCUCUUGAGGUACUUGAGUUUGAGGAAUACAAAUAUAAGGAGCAUCCCCAAAUCCCUCAGGAACCUACGGCACCUUGAGACCUUGGAUCUUAAGCAAACUCUGGUAAAAGAGCUACCCAAAGCAGUCCUACAACUUGAUAAACUUCGCCACUUGCUGGUUUAUGCCUACAAUAUGGGAAGUGUUGUAGAGUUUGAUGCCGUUCAAGGGUUCACUGUACCGAGAAAGAUCGGAGCAAUGAAGAAUCUGCAAAAGCUAUCAUUUGUAAAGGCGAAAAGGCAUAACAGAAUGAUACAGGAGCUCAAAAAUCUGACAAAGCUGAGGAAGCUGGGCAUUGUAGAACUAGCAAAAGAAGAUGGCAAUAGCUUGUGCCACUCAAUUGAGAAGAUGCCGGAUCUCCUUUCCUUGGAUGUUACCUCCCUUAGUAAGGGGGAGCCUUUGGAGCUUGAUGCAAUGACCAAUCCCCCGCGUCUUCUUCAACGCCUGUAUCUCAAAGGGCACUUGCAAAGGUUUCCAAAGUGGGUAUCUUCUCUACAUGACCUGGUGAGAAUACGCCUAAAAUGGUCCUUAUUGUCACAAGACAACCCAAUUGAAGCUCUUCAAGAUCUUCCAAACUUGAUGGAGCUGCAGUUACUUGAUGCAUACACUGGAACCCAGUUGGACUUCAACUCGGGAAAAUUUCAGAAGCUUAAGAUAUUAGACCUUGAGCAAUUGAAACAGCUGAGGUUUAUCAUAAUGGAAGAUGACACAUUGCCUUGCCUACAAAAGCUGAUCAUAAGGCAAUGCAAUGAGCUGGAACAUGUCCCCGUAGGCAUUGACGGGCUUCAUCAUCUCAAUGAGCUGCACCUCUGCGAUAUGCCUGAGAAAUUCGUGGCACUGCUGAAGAAAAGAGGCGGUGAACUUCGCCAUUUGCUUCACCGUAUUUUGCGUAUUCUCUCAUAUCAACAGGGCCAGUUGGUGGAAGAUCUUUCAUGACCAUAAAUGCUACAUCUGUGACAUGCACCAGUGGAACAAGAAUCAAGGUUUGUAUAACUACAUGGAUUCAUCGCUUGCUUCUUUUGGAUUCCUCAAAAUGCAUUGUCGUCAAUUCCUUUACUAGCAAUAUUACUGCAUGUUCCUAGGAAAUCAUGGUGGGAUAUCUAGCAUUUAUACAUAUCAAACAUCGAAUAUCUGUGGAGUCAUAUUUGAAACUGCCAUUGUUGAAACUACGCCGAGACUCGGUACAAGACAGUCGGAUUAUGGUUAGGUGUCAAGCCCCUGAGCCUUCCAAUUGAUUUUUAUUAUUCUUGUAUUGAUAAUAGUAUGAAGUUAGAAUCAAUUUUAUUAUAUUUCGCUUAAAACGUCGGAAUCAGUUUCACAUUAAGCUUGUAGGAUAGCGAACAAAUUGAAUAUCAAUUUACUAUAAAAAUCUUCUCUUUUUUUUUUUCAAUUUUUUUAUUUAUUUUAUACUUGUGUCUGGUUUGGUUAACAAAUAAUGACAUUAUGCCCACUUGUGAAUUUUUAAUAUUAUGUUUUUAUGAUUAUUUUAGAUGAUAUUAAAUAUAAUAGUGAUUUGCUUUAAUUGUUGGUUUGUUGAAUGCAUUCUUAUCCAAUUGUUUUUAUUUAUUUUCUCUAAAAUUUUUAUUACUUUAAAAUUGUUCUAUACUUUUUAAUUAAUUAAGCAGUUUAUUCUGCAUAUAGUCUGGUUUAAUCGAAUAAAAUACGAUGACGAAGUCCUCUAAGAAUCUUCUAUAAAAGUCAACUCUGCCCAAUCAAUUCUUUCACAGGGGAACAAUGGUUUAUUAAUGUGCAACUAGCGUUUUUAUAAAUAAAAUAUUCUUAAUUUCCUCUAAAUAUCAGAUUAGUGUUAGACAAAACCAAUAAUAAUAUUUUUAUUGGGAUUUUUCAAUGGCAUUAUAAAGUCACCAAUCAAUUAAUAAAAAAUGGUCAUUGAAGUCACCGUGAUUUAUUGAUUUAUUUAUUUUUACCUGGACAAUGAUCUUAAUUAUUGUUUUUUCUGUAUUAUUUAAGUAUCAAGUUUUUAACAAAAGAAACCCAAGGUUAUGGAUGGGCAUUUCUCAAUACUAGAGGUACUAGUUUUUUUAGGGAAAAAUAGGUAUAAAAAAAAUUUAAUAUUUGCUAAAUUUUGGAAAAGUUGAAUAAUAUUGAGAUUAGUACCUUGAAAAGUUAAAAUUAUUCAAACACAAAAUAAAGAAUAAAAAGUAUAUUAAUAAUUUGUUUAGUAAAUUUUAACAUUUCUUUUACUUGAAAUUUUUUUAAAAAAAAAUUCUAUAUAGGGCAUAUAAUUAGGAUUAGGUUUAUUAAUAAAUGAAAUGUUUUUCUUAGCUGACAAUGCAAUCAUGUUGACCCAUAAAUUUGCAUUAGAUUUAUGAGAAAACUUUGAAUUUCUUUAUUUUCUUUUACAUGGCACAAAGGUUUAUAUAGAUUGUCUUGAAGUAGCAGUAAAGUGAUCCUUUAAGUACCACAAAUACUUGUGAUUUGGAAAUAAUCAAAGUCUUCCCAAUUGGGACGACCCUAGGUUCCAAUACAUUAGCAUUGAUUUCUUUGAGUUGUAUAUGAUGCUUCUUUUCAUGUUAUUUACGACAUUGACUACUAGAAUCUCUUGCAGAUGCAAGUGGCAUUCAUUAAAAGUUAAGACCACUGCUUUCAAGGGUCCUAUGUCCAGCUUCCGAGCAACAACAAUACGAGAAUGGGAAUGGUAAUGGGGUGGAAUUUUCUUGAUGGGACAAAUUUGGGAUAAAUAUGAAUGAGUUCAACCAACAAAUUUGAGAUUUUUUGUUUUUUUUUUGAACCCAAAGUGGGUUUGGGUAUGAUGUUGUCCCAUCCCAUAUGUAAUAUUAAAUAAAAAUGAUUUUAAUACAUUUUUGACUUUUUUUAACAUAUAUCAAAUAUUUUUUUUUAUAAAGAUAAAUUAUACAUAUUUAUAAUAUUUAUUUAUUUGUAAAUUAUAUUUAUUUUUAAUACAAUUUAAAAGUAAAAAAAUUAAGAAAAAAUAAAAAAUAGACAGACAAGGUGAAUAUGAGAAUUUUCCUACAUCUGUUCUACCUAUUUAUUUAUUUUUUUCAUGAAAAUGAGAAUAAAUAUAAAUAAAUUGGACGAUAUUAAAAUAUGGGUGACCAUCUCAAACUUGCCCGUUACCAACCAUAACCGAGAAGAUUGGGUCAAUGUGGAUUUUUAAGCUCCUUUUUUGGUUUGGGUUUGCAAAAAAAGACCCAACCAUUUAUUCGUUUGGCCAUAUGAAGUUGAUGAAUGCAACACCUUAACUCGGAACAUGACAUCCAUCAAACUUAGGCAAUCUCUCGCGUAAAUUUUAAGAAAUCACAAUAACUAGGAAUUUUCAACUAUGAAAUUUCCAAAAGAUAGCAUCAUUUUACAUUGUUCUAAGGCCAGUGCCAAAGGGUUCAUGUAGAAUUUUCAAAAUGUUUUUGUCCUGAGAAAAUACAUUUUGGAUAUGUUUCGUACCCAGUAAAUUCCAGGAUGCACAUAAUGGAAAUAAAAUUGAAAAAAAGAAAAAAAAAAGUAAAGAAAAAUAAAAUAUAGAUUUAAGAUCAAUAAAUUAUGUUAUAUAUUUCUUCAAACUAAUUUCACUUAUUUUCCUUAUUAUCUAAAGAUUAAAUAAUUUUAAAAUACAUAAAUCUUUUAUUAACUUUCAUUAUAUUUGAUUUUUUUUUAUAUUUUUUAUAAUAAAAUUAAACAUGAGAAAAUUAGUUUUAUUAACAUUUUUUUUUCUUUUACUUUCCUAGAACCGAACAUAGUACUAAGAAGCUAUAGCUAGAAAUGCCAUGAUACCAUUUUCUUGAAAACUUCCAUAUAAUUAAUAUGUACAUGUAGAUUACCUACAAUUUUCAAAUAGACAAGUACUUGUGUGUUUCAGUUUCCAAAACUUUUAUUAGGAACUCAACUUAAGACUUUACUGAAUUCAUGGGAUUGUCAGAUUUAGUAUAGGAAGAAAUUUUCCAUUGUUGACUAUAAUCUAUAUAUGGUGACCAUGUGACAUUAAUAUAUUUAUUUAGAUAUAUAAAAAAAUAUUUGAUUAAAAGACUUAAAAUACUCUUUGUAAAACCAAGGUUUGGUUAAUCUUGAUUUUGAUGAUAAAAAUAAAAAAUAAAAUUAGAAUUCAUGAUUAUAUUUCAACUGUCACUAGACAAGAUGAUUUCUAGAGUGACAAUCACAAAAAUAAAAUUAAGUCAAAGAGAAAUCAAUAAAAAGAAGAAAACCUCAAAAAGAAAUGUUUUUCAAGACCUAAGCUCCAUAGGAUAUCUUUGUAAGGUUGUUGGUGCACCAAGUUUUUCAUGCAUUACAUUCUUUACUUAUGCACCAAAAUCAUUUAAGAAUUAUUUUGUUUUAAAUAUUUUAAAAUAAGAUGAUUUCAUGUUUUCAACUAAAACUUUGUGUCAAAUACUUUCCAAACUUGUUUAAAAUAGUUUUAAGUUAAAAAGAUGGUUAUUGAACCAAAAACGACUCAAUUGGUUGAGAAAUUUGCUCAAUCGGUUGAACAUAUUGAGGAACCAAUCAACCUGUUCAACUUAACUGGUUGAAGGGUGUAAAAAAACUCUUUCUCUUCCAGAACACUUAUUCGAUCGAUCGAUCGAGGUUGGACCUCAUCCGAUUGACCAAUUCAGCUCAAUCAGUUGAAAGGUGUAAAAAUCUUCUUUCUAUUCCAAAAUACUUCUUUGACUAGUUGAGGUUGGACUUCAUCUGGUCAAGUACUAGUUGAGGAGCGGUUGAGGUUCAACAGUCACCUGUCAUGCAUUAAAUGUUAAUGGCUAGUGAACCAGUCGAAUUGGAGCUCGAUCGGAUGAACUCGCAAUGACUAGUUAGACUUAUCUCCUCUAUAAAAAGGUUCCAAUCUUUAUUGUUUCAAGAGUUUAAUCUUCGUAACCCUUUCUUGAAUAUAUUUGAGCAUUGAAAGUGUGUUUUUUAGUGCACCAUUGUUCUAAAACUUGCAAUCAUUAAUGCACCAGUCAAUCCUAAUUUAUCUUGUAUCAUUUGAACCUAAAGUUUUGUACUAGAUUUUGUGAGAUUAUUUCUUAUCUUCAUUUGUAAAUCUUUGAGAGAAAUAAUCUAAGUGUGAGGUAUCAUUUAGGGAUAUUUAAGUGUGGGGUAUCACUUAGAAAUUCUUAAGUUUGGGGUAUUAUUUGAGGGAUUGUUCAAAAGUGAUCUAUCUCUUAAGGAUUUUAAAGGAUGAACCUAAAGUUCUGUACUAUAUUUUGUGAGAUUAUUUCUUAUCUUUAUUUGUAAAUCUUUGAGAGGAAAAAUCUAAGUGUGAGGUAUCAUUCAGGGAUAUUUAAGUGUGGGGUAUCACUUAGAGAUUCUUAAGUGUGAGAUAUCACUUAAGGGGUUGUUCAAAAGUGAUGCAUCUCUUAAGGAUUGUAAAGGAUGCUUAGAGCCAAAAGUUCAAGAGGGUGAAUUGGAACCAUAAUCCAAUUAUAUUGCUUGAAUGCUUGGUUUGAAAGCCUUGAAUUAGUAGAAUUUCAAACUUGUGAUUGAAACUGGAGGAGAGUGGACAGAGGCUAGGUUGCGUUGAACCAUUAUAAAAAUCUUGUAUUUGCAUUCUCUCUUAUAUUCUCUUUUAAUUUAUAUGCAAUUGUUUUUAUAUUAUUUAUUAUAUAAAUUACAUAUAAUUAUCUCUUAAAUUUACAUAAUUUAAAUUUACAAAAAGAGACCAUCACCCUAUUCACCAUUUUUAGAGUGGUUACCUUAGGUUGGAUUAACUUUUUUUUUUUUUUUAAUACUUUUGAAAUUGGAAAAAUGACGUUCUUUACUCAUUCCUUGAAAAAUAAAAAAAUGAUUCAUUUUGGAUGUUAUUCUUCUUUUUUAUUUUCUUAAAAAUGCCAUUUUCUUCUAUUUCCUAAUUUAUUUAUUUAGUUUUCACAUUUAGGAUACCAAGCUCUCUUUCUCCCUCUAAGUUUAUGCUUUCCAAUUUUUCAUUGAAUUUUUUUAGUGAAGUUCAAAUCCUUAACAAAGAUUAAUGGAUAAUGAUCGGUUGUAGUCCUCUCAUCUUUCUUUUUUCUUCAAGAUUCUUUAUAUUUUCCAUUUUCUCUUUAUUUCUUGUUGGAAUUUUUUAUUAGAGGGUUUUUUUUGAAAUUGUUAUUUUUAAAAUUUUUUGUAGUUGUUUUUUUGCAGGUUUUUUUUUCUUUUUGGUUAACGGUUUUUUGUUGAGGGUUUUUUAUUAGGGCUUCUUACAAUUUCAUUUACACUUCUACAUUGUUUUUGCUUAGGGUUUCUUGGUAGUUAUUUUCUAUUGAAAUUUUGGUUGGGGUCCGUUGCCAUUGUUUUUCAUUAGAGUUUUUUUUAUAGUUGUUUUAUCGAGUUUUAUUUUUUAUUUAUUUUUUUGCAUUUUCACUAAGUCUUAUAAUAAUACCCUCUAUUUUGUCCUUUUGGCACAUGAUACUCAAGUUAGCCAUCAUUCAUCCUUUAUUACUUGUUUGUGCACUUCACGGUCUUUUUUCAAGCUAUUUUUGAGCUCUCAUUGAUGGUCUACUGUGACUAUGUUUAUCACUAGUUUUUUGUAUUUUCUAUAAGAAACAUUUUGGAGGGAUUAGGUGGACCUUAACCUUGAUUUUAGUGACCAUUAAUUCUUAGUUUGUGAUUUUGUUUUUGGUUAAUUUAUAAUAUAUUUAGGCUUUUUUAAAACCUUUAAUGUCACUAGAUAAAUUCAUAAUUUGGAUUGACUAAUAAUAGAUUUCAUUUUUAAAAAAAAAUGUAUAAUGAAGGUCAACAUUGAAUUAAGAAAAAGUUUUUAUUUAUUUAUGAAUUUGAUUUAAUUUGAUCUAAUUAUUUUUGUUUGCAUUUUUUAUUUUUUAUUUUUAUAAAUUAUAGAACUUUAGAUAUCAAUCGUGAUUAUGAAAUAGGUAAAUUGAAAAUUGAUAUAUUAUGGCCACUGAACAUAGGCCCUAAGAUUUUUCAUGCUAUAAUAAUAUUUCUUUUAAUAUCUCAUAAAUCGUAAAUUAAAAUGAAAAUAAAAUUAAGAUUGGAGUUUAUUGAAGACAUCAAAUUCAUGCUUUAAAAUAUAUAUUAAAAUGGGUCGUUUCUUUUAAUAAUAAUCAUACUAAAACAUUUUUUUUUUUUUUUUGCUUUAAUGUCUUACAAGCCACCAACGGCCAACCAGCUGUACCCAACCUUACCAACCGUGAGCCUAGCCUUUUUCAACCUAUAAAACCUAGCCCUUUGUAGCAUUGGGCCAAAAUGACCCAUGUAUUAAAAAAAAAAAAUUAGAUGUAACCAUUUUAUGAAAUUUAUAUUCAAACUAACAUCUUUGAUGCCACGAGGACUCAUGUCAUAAAAAUAUUUUUUUUUUCAAAAUUUUAAUUAAAACCUCAAUUGGUAAUUGAGGUUUCAUUUUUGAACUGAAGUCGCAAUUACUAACUGAGACUUCAGUUAUUGAACUAAAGUCACAAUUGUCAAUUGAGGUUUUAGUUAAAAAAUAAAGUUUCAAUUGACAAUUGAACUAAAGCCUCAAUUGACAACUAAAACUUCAUUUUUUUUAACUAAAACCUCAAUUGUCAACUAAGCCUUAGUUAAUUUUUUUUAACUUUAAAAUUUAGUUAAAAAUUAUUAAAUUAUAGUUUAUUAUUAAAAUUAGAAAUAUAUAUUUUAAUAAUAAAUUAUUUAUAUUUAAGCUUAAAAAUCUAAUAUUACUUCAACAAAUAUAAAUUGAUAGAUAAAAGAUAUUAUAAAUGAAUAUUUUAUUUAUUAAUAAAUUAAUAAUAUUAAAAUAAUAAAUUUAUAUAACAUAUAAAUAAGAUAUAAAAUUGUAUAAUUUAUUAAUUUAAGAUUUUUUUUUAAAGAUAUUAAUGUAUUUGUAUUAUGUUAAAUUUAUCCAUAUGUUCUCUCAUUAUGAAAGCAUAUGAGGUCAUAUAUGUUUUUUUUUUUUCAGCAUAUAAAUGUUUAAUGGGUAUUUUUUGUGACUUUGAUAAAACAACUAAAAAUUAUAUUUUGUAGUAGACUUUUUUUAACUAAUUUUGUCAAAAAAUCUAUAUAUAAAAAUUUAAGAGUAUACUGUUAUUUCAAUAAAGAUAAAUUUCUUAUAAUACAAAUAAAUCAAUGUCUUAAAAAACAACAAAUUAAAUAUCUUAAAUUAAUAAAUUAUAAAAUUUUAUAUCUUAUUUGUAUGUCAUAUAAUUUUAUUAUUUUAAAAUUAUUAAUUUAUUGAUAAAUAAAAUAUUUAUUUAUUGUAUUAUAUUUAUCAAUUUAUGUUUAUUGAAGUAAUACUAGAUUUUUAAGUUUAAAUAUAAAUAAUUUAUUAUUAAAUUAUAUAUUUUUAAUUUCAAUAAUAAGUUAUAAUUUAAUAGUUUUUAAUUAAAUUUAAAAGUUAAAAAAAAAUAUUAACUGAAGCCUCAAUUGGCAAAUACACCUUAGAAGUAUACUAUUAUUUAGAUAAAAAUAAAUUUGUCAUAAUACAAAUAAAUUAAUAUCUUAAAAAAUAACAAAUUAAAUAUCUUAAAUUAAUAAAUUAUACAAUUUUAUACCUUAUUUAUAUGUUAUAUAUAUAAAUUUAUUAUUUUAAAAUUAUUAAUAAAUAAAAUAUUCAUUUAUAAUAUCUUCUAUUUAUUAAUUUAUGUUUGUUGAAGUAAUAUUAGAUUCUUAAGUUUAAAUAUAAAUAAUUUAUUAUUAAAUUAUAGAUUUUUAAUUUCAAUAAUAAAUUAUAAUUUAGUAGUUUUUAAUUAAAUUUAAAGUAAAAAAAAAAUUAAAUGAAACCUGAAUUGGUAAUUGAAGUUUUAGUUCAAAAAUGAAGUUUCAGUUACCAAUUGAGAUUUCAGUUAAAAAUAAAGUUUCAAAUUGCGGUUUUAGUUCAAAAACUAAAGCCUCAAUUGAUAAUUACGGUUUUAGUUUAAAAAAGAAAUCUCCUCAAUUAUCAAUCUAGGUUUUUAUUAAAAGUUAAAAAAUAUAUAUAUUUAUAUGACAUGAAACUAAAGAUGCUAGUUCGAAUAUAAGCUGGAUAAAGUGGUUAGAUGUAAUAUAUUUUUUUUAAUAAAUGGGACAUUUUGACCCAAAACUCUUGAGCUGCAACCAGCCAUACCAAAGACACCCUGCACUAGCCGUCCGUAAUCCUCUACUGCAGCUUCGUUUUAGCUGCCCGAGGCGUCUCAAAUCAGCCCCAUCAAGUUGUCCACUCUCCCUGCUAUGAGCUUGGAAAUAAUCCAAGUCUUCCCAACCGGGAAGACUCUAGCUAGCUUCCAAUACGAAGACUCUAGCUAGCUUCCAAUACAUCAAUACUGAUUUUCUUGAGCUGCAUGUGAUGGUUCUUUUCAUAUUAUUAAUUAACGCCAUUGACUGGUCAUCUUCCCUGACAAUUCAUCAGUUAAAAUCACUGGUUUCAAGGGUACACCCAGCCACCAAUGCAAUAGCAAUACGGAGAAGACUGGGUCCAUGUGAGUAAUUGAUAGGCUUUUUUUUUUUUUUUGGUUUUGGUACGCAGAAAAAGAGGAGUUUUGGGUCAAAAUGCCGUAUAUUAAAAAAAAAAAAUAUUACAUCUAAUUAUUUUAUGAAACUUAUGUUCAAAUGCUUUGUAGGAAUCAUGUCAUAAAUUUUUUUUUUUUUAAAUUUUAGUAAAAGUCUCAAUUAAUAAUUAGGGUUUCAAUUUUGAAUUGAAAUUGUAAUUGUCAGUUGAGGCUUUGGUUUUUGAACUAAAGCUAUAGUUGUUAACUGAGACUUCAUUUUUUAACUGAAACCUCACUUGACAAAUACUUUAUUUUUAAACUAAAGCCUUAAUUGACAAUUAAGACUUUUUAUUUUAUUUUAAAAUUUAGGUAAAAGCUAUUAAAUUAUAGUUUAUUAUUGAAAUUAGAAAUAUAUAUUUUAAUAAUAAAUUAUUUAUAUUUAAGCUUAAGAAUCUAGCAUUAUUUUAAUAAACAUAAAUUGAUAGAUAGAAGAUAUUAUAAAUGAAUAUUUUAUUUAUUAAUAAAUUAAUAAUAUUAAAAUAAUAAAUUUAUAUAACAUAUAAAUAAGAUAUAAAAUUGUAUAAUUUAUUAAUUUAAGAUAUUAAUUUGUUGUUUUUUUAAAGAUAUUAAUUUAUUUGUAUUAUGUCAAAUUUAUUCAUAGGUUCUCUCCUUGUGGAGGCAUAUUAUGUUAUAUAUGUUUUUUUUUUAGCAUAUAAAUGUUUAGUGAAUAUUUUUUAUGACUUUGAAAAAACUACUAAAAAUCAUAUUUUUUAGUAGACUUUUUCUAACUAAUUUUGUCAAAAAGUCUAUAUAUAGAAACUUAAGAGUAUACUAUUAUUUCAAUAAAGAUAAAUUUUUCAUAAUACAAAUAAAUUAUUAUCUUAAAAAACAACAAAUUAAAUAUCUUAAAUUAAUAAAUUUUAAAAUUUUAUAUCUUAUUUGUAUGUCAUAUAAAUUUAUCAUUUUAAGAUUAUUAAUUUAUUGGUAAAUAAAAUAUUCAUUUAUUGUAUUGUAUUUAUCAAUUUAUGUUUAUUGAAAUAAUACUAGAUUUUUAAGUUUAAAUAUAAAUAAUUUAUUAUUAAAAUAUAUAUUUUUAAUUUCAAUAAUAAGUUGUAAUUUAAUAGUUUUUAAUUAAAUUUGAAAGUAAAAAAAAAGCCUCAGUUAACAACUACGGCUUAGGAGUAUACUAUUAUUUCGAUAAAGAUAAAUUUAUCAUAAUACAAAUAAAUUAAUACCUUAAAAAAUAACAAAUUAAAUAUCUUAAAUUAAUAAAUUAUAUAAUUUUAUAUAUUAUUUAUGUGUUAUAUAAAUUUAUUAUUUUAAAAUUAUUAAUUUAUUAAUAAAUAAAAUAUUUAUUUAUAAUAUCUUUUAUUUAUCAAUUUAUGUUUGUUGAAGUAAUACUAGAUUCUUAAGUUUAAAUAUAAAUAAUUUAUUAUUAAAGCAUAGAUUUUUAAUUUCAAUAAUAAAUUAUAAAUUAAUAGUUUUUAAUUAAAUUUUAAAAAAAAAAAAUUGAAGCCUCAGUUGAUAAUUGAGACUUUAAUUCAAAAAUAAAGGCUUCAGUUAAAAAAUAAAGUCUCAAUUGAUUAUUUCGAUUUUAGUUUAAAAACUAAACCUCAAUUGAUAUUUACGGUUUUAAUUUAAAAAUGAAACAUCAGUUACUAAUUGAGACUUUCAUUAAAAUUUUGAAAAAAAAUAUAAUUCUAUGAUACUACUUCUACGUGACAUCAAAAAAGUUGUUUGAAAAUAAAGUGGUUAAAUCUAUUUUAUUUUUUAUCCUGGGCCAUUUUGACCCAAAACUCGAAAAAGAGAGUCGGCAAUUUAUUUGUAUGGCCCACACGAAAUUGAUGAAUCCAUCGCCUUAGAAAUAUGACAUCCAUCAAACUCAGGCAAUCUCCACCGCAUGAAUUUUAAAAGCCACAGCAAUUGGGGAUAUUCUACCGUGGAAGAUGGCAUCAUUUUACAUUCUACUGAGGCCAAUAUCUAUGCUUCGUGGUUCUCUGGAACCAAUCAUGUAUUGCCUUGAACCCUUGAGAGAGAACAUGUGAUAUGCCCACGUCUUUUUAUUUACGCACAUUCCUACUACUUUUCUUUGUUUUUAUUGUAUAAGGUUGGAGGGUGGUCUAUGUAUUGACUCGGUAUGUAUGCUUGACUACAAACUCGAUGGUAGUUCAUAUGAGUGGAUCCUAAUAUUGUUGCAGCAAUUUGCCGAUUUCAGAGAAAAGAGAGAGAGAGAUAAUGGUCGACCCAGAAAUAACUGGAGGGAUUGCAGCGAGUACUUUGAGCUUUCUUCUAGUAAAACUCGAUGCUUUUGCAAUUAGAGAAUGGAAAUUGCAGGAAAAUAUCAAAAAGUCUGUCCAAAAUUUAGGAUGCGAGCUGAGGAACAUUCAGGCCAUGCUGAGAGAUGCUGAUUCAAAGGAAGAGCAUAGUCACCAAUUUACGGUCUGGAUUAAAGAGGUCCGCGAUCAAGCUUAUGCAAUCGAGGAUGCUCUUGACCUGUUCAAACUCAAACAAGAAUCAGUGUGGCGCCGCCUGAAACUGCGUCACUCCAUCAACGACUUGAUACAGGAUAUUGAGCGGAGUCUCCAAAACAUUCAGCGGACAAAGGAGAGGUAUCGCAGCAUGGCCUCCUAUUCAACCAAUGCUGGCAACAACACAUACCUUCAUGUGAGAGUGGCUCCUUUGUUCAUAGGUAACGUUGAUACCGUGGGCAUUGAGGAGCCUACAAAUAAGCUGGUUUCCUGGGCCUUGGAACCGAAACAGAGGCUUGAGGUGAUGUUUGUGGUGGGGAUGGCUGGACUGGGGAAGACCACUCUUGUCCACAGCGUGUAUGAGAGCGUGAAACAGAACUUUGAUUGCCAUAUCUGGAUCACUGCUUCAAAGUCCAAAACCAAACUCGAUAUCUUACGGACCUUGUUGGUGGAGAAAUUCGGCUGUACAAUCACACAGGGGGGCGAUGUGGUUGCUCUGACGCAUAAGCUGAGAAAAUUUCUCCACAACAAACGGUAUGUCAUAGUUCUUGAUGACUUAUGGGUAAAAGAUGUUUGGGAGUCCAUUAGACUUGCCUUGCCAAAUGGUAAGGACAGUAGAAUAAUUAUCACUACAAGGAGAGGCGAUAUAGCUAAUUCUUGGAGAGAUGAUGAUUCUGUUGAUAUCCACAUGCUUCAGCCACUGUCACCGGAAAGGGCUGAGAAACUCUUCUAUAAGAAAGCUUUCUCAAGAAAUGGCAGAUGUCCUUCAGGCUUGGAGGAAGUCUCGAAAUCCAUCUUACAGAAAUGUGAUGGAUUACCACUUGGGAUUAUUGAAAUCGGUAGACUUUUAUCCAUCAAGGCUCCAACUAAAAAUGAGUGGAAAAUAUUACAUGAUAGCCUUGAGUCUGAAUUGAGAGGCAGUGGUGGCCUUUCAAAUAUUACGAAAGUGCUGUCUGCAAGUUAUAAUGAUUUACCUUUCCAUCUCAAGUAUUGUUUCUUGUACAUGAGCAUCUUUCCUGAGACUAGCCCAGUUAAGCGAAGAAGGCUAAUUCGGCUAUGGAUAGCUGAAGGGUUUGUAAUAGAGAAAGGAGGCAAGACAUCUGAAGAGGUUGGGGAAGAGUAUCUGAAUGAGCUGAUUGACAGGAGUCUGAUAAAGGUAAAUGAAAUGGAUUUUGAAGGAAGGCCAAAAAGUGUGGGAGUUCAUAGUCUGAUGCUGAAGAUGAUUCUCUCAGGUGGUGUUUGUUUUUUUGGCUUUUUGCUGAAAACCAUUUAGUUUUAGAAUUUAGGUUGUUUGUUUUUUUACUUUUUCAUGACUUAUUAUAAACUUUUUACUAAAUAGAAAAAGCUAAAAUAUGUGGCUUUUUCUAAAUAGAAAAAAUAACACAAUGAUUUUUUUUACUUUUUAAUACUUAAUAGAAAUAAAAUACUACAAAAACAAACAACCUAAUAUUUAAGACUAUUAAGUAUUAAGGUUCUAUUUAGAAUUAAGUAAAAAAACAAACACCACCUCAGUCUCACGAGAGGAGAACUUUUGUUCUGUUUGUACAGGAUCAGAAAGGAACUUGAGUGAGAAAACCCGGCGCCUAUCUAUUCAGAAGGAAGAUUUUGAUGUGUCUCAGGACUUACCCUGUGUUCGAACCUUCUUCAGUUUCGGUAUAGGCAAAGUAAAGAUUGGUUCCAACUUCAAACUAUUGAAGGUCUUGGACAUACAGGGCACUCCUUUGGAAGAAUUUCCGGGUGUAAUUAAAGAUCUUCUGCUCUUGAGGUACUUGAGUUUGAGGAAUACAAAUAUAAGGAGCAUUCCAGGGACCCUGGGUGACCUUCAUCACCUUGAGACCUUGGAUCUUAAGCAGACUCUGGUAACAAAAGUACCCAAAGCAGUCCUACAACUUGAGAAACUUCGCCAUUUGCUGGUUUAUCGCUACAAUAUGGAAAGUGCCCUACCUUUUGAUAUUGUGCAGGGGUUCAAGGCACCAAAGAGGAUCGGCGCAUUGAAGAACCUACAAAAGCUGUCAUUUGUAAAGGUGAGUGGGCAGCACAGAAUGAGUCGGGAGCACAGAAUGAUACAAGGGCUCGACAAUCUUACGCAGUUGAGGAAGCUGGGCAUUGUAGAACUAGCAAAAGAACGUGGGGCGAGCUUGUGCCUCUCAAUUGAAAAGAUGCCAAAUCUCCACUCCUUGAAUGUAACCUCUCUUAAUAAGGAGGAGCCUCUGGAGCUUGAUGCAAUGACCAAUCCACCGCCCCUUCUUCAACGCUUGUACCUCAAAGGGCCCUUGAAUAGGUUUCCACAGUGGGCAACUUCUCUACAUGACCUGGAGAGAAUACGCCUAAAAUGGUCUUCACUCACAGAAAACCCGAUUGCAGCUCUUCAAAACCUCCCAAAUCUGACAGAGUUGCAGUUGCUUGAUGCAUAUACUGGAACCCAGUUGGACUUCAACUCCGGAAAAUUUCCGAAGCUGAAGAUAUUAGACCUUCAGCAAUUGGAACAGGUGAGGUCUAUCAUGAUGGAAGAAGGCACAUUGCCUUGCCUACAGAAGCUGAUCAUAAGCCACUGCAGCAGGCUGGUGCAGGUCCCUAGAGGUAUUGACAAGCUCAUUCACCUCCAAAUGCUGCUGUUGUACGAUAUGCCCGGAACAUUUGUGACCGGGCUGAGGAAAAACGGUGGUCAAUUUCGCCGUUUGGUUCACCAUAUUCCAUGUAUUCAUUCAUAUAACCAGGCCCAGUUGGAAGAUCUUUCUUGAUCAUUAUACAUCUACGAGGAAGAAUCAGGUCUGUAGAACAACCUGAAUUCAUCGUUUCCUUCUUCUAGAUUCCCCAAAACGUACUGUUGGAUUGCUAUUUCUUUUCUAGGAUUACUGCAUUUUCCUAGGAAACUAUGUAUGGUGCAAUUGAGUAUGAAAUUAUGUCCUCAAUCAAAGGUAUCAUUUUACUAUUAUUUUACAAAGGUAUCAUUUUAUUUAUACGAUGAAGACAUUUGAUUAUACAUAUUUACUUUUUUCUAAAAUUUUAUUUAUUUUUAGUGUUUUUUUAUUUUUUAUUUUUAGCUUUCCAAGUAAUAUGCUCAGCAUAAAAUUCCAUAUUGAUCUAAAAUGAGCCUGAUGGGUCUAUAUAAAGAUCUCUCAUGUAAAAGAUCAAUUUACAAGGAAUACUGGUUAUGUUUGAAAGUAGUUUUAUAUUCUUUAAAAAUAUAAAACAGUUUUUUUAACUUAAAAAACGCUUUCAUCUUGAUUUGAUAUAGCAUGAUGGGUUUAUCUAAAGAUCUUUCGAGUCAAACAUCAAUUAGAAGGAAUAUCGGUCAUGUUUGAAAAUAGUUUUAUAUUCUUUUAAGAAGAUAAGUUAAACAGUUUUUUAACCUAAAAACUAUGAUUGAAAAUUUUCAGGAAUUUGUAGAGUUUGUUUAAAAAAUAAUUUGUUUUUUUUAUAUCUUUAAGAAUUCUUUUCAAAAAAAAAAAUCUCUAAAUCUUAAAACAUCCCUCUAGCUUAAAGAUGACUUUUAGAAAAUUUUACAACUUUUCCUAAUAAAGUCUAGUUCAGAACAUCCAGAAGAGUUAUAUGUAUUCUUCAUAAUCAAAAGAUGUCCGAGAAUCACUUUUAAUAUAAAAAACGUUUUUCUAAAAAAAUAAAAUGUUUCACAAAAUUCAAAAAUCAUUUUUAAAAAAUUGAAGAAUUGUUUAGAGUGUUUUUUUUUUUAAAUUUUUUAUAAAUGUUUAAUAAGUGAUUCUCCUAAAAACUCUUUAAAAAAAACAUUUAAGUAAAAAUUCUUCUGAUAAAAAUAUUAUCAAACAUACUCUAAUUCCUUAUGCUUGAAGCUUCCAAUGCAAUUCAUUGAAAGUAUUUUCCAUAUGACUUCUCCACAAAAUAUUUCUUUAAACUUAAAACUAAAAGUCAUAUUUUUAAAAAAAGAAAAAUAAAUUCUUGACAUGUAUAGGAUAUGAGAUUUUUGUUCUAACACUAGGUUAAAGUUAAGAAUGCAAAAAAAAAAACCUGACCAUUAAGUCAAAUUUAAAUCUUGAUUAAAAAAAAACCAUUAAAAUAAAUUUGCUCUACUUUGUCUCCACCCUCUUACAUUUCUUCCACCCUCUCCCCCAUCCUAUAGAUGUACCACUGUAGUAUUUUUGGAGAGGUUAACUUGCAAAGUAAGGAAAGCUUUUUUUUAAAGGACACUUCUCCACUUGUUUGUCCAAUCGGGAUAGAAACAUAAAAUUUGCUACCAAUGAUGAAGAAAAGUAAACAGAGUGUAAGAAAACAUUUCAUGUUUAAUCUAAAAAUUACAAUCCCAACAAAAAUAUAAAAAAUCAUGUCAAUCUGGUCAAUGGAAAAGGAAACAUAGAAGAACUUAUGAUGAUUCAGUUCUUCUAUAUGAUUCAGUUCUUCUAUGUUCUGCGUGUUAGUAUUGAUGUGAAUGACACGUCUAUAAAAUCUUAGCUACUUUAUAGAGAGAUUUGUUUAUACUAUCAUUUCAAUUUUUUAUUUUUGCAUAUUACAUUUUAUUGGGUAUUGAGUAUUGUUGUGAUGUUAUAGUAUUAGCAAUAUGUUAUUAUUUCAUAAUUAUACUUUUCUAUUUUGAAUAGUUUUAUAUUAAUUUAGCUUCAAUUUUUAUGAUAAUGGAGAUGAAGAAUAAUGAACAAUAUUAAAGAGAAUAUUAGCAACAUCCAACUAUAAGAACUAACUUGAGCAUUACAAGCAUUGUCCCCACUUGUCUUCACCUUUUAAAAAAGGUUAGAUUUUCAAGAAUCUCAACCCAAUAAUUAUGUUUUUUAGGUUGGGUAGCAAAAGUCAUACGGAGAGAGAAAAGUGAUAAAAAAAAGUUCACCAAUCAAAUGGAAAUAGAUUGUUAUUAUUACUGGAUUAACUUGGUCAUUAGAUUUAAAAUAGUACAUAAUAUCAUUGUGGAAUUUGCAUGCUUGGAAGGAAGAAGUCUUGUUCUUUCCAAAGGAAUUAAUGGGAGACAGGGCAAAAUGCCUGUAAGGAAAUGAUAGUAACUUUUGAAAAAGUGGGCUAUAAAGUAAAGGAGAAUUGUGAAAAAUUAAUAUUUGGUCCAUAUAAUUUUCAUAAUUGAUAGAAAUGAUAUAAGAUGUUAAAAGACCAACAUAUCUUUCAAAUUUCUAUACAUUACCUUUUUAAUUUCUAAAGUUUUACUAAAAAAUUGUACUGACAAUUUUCUUGUUAUGAAUUAAAAUACUUUGCAUUAGUCUAUCUGGAUAAGAAAAAUUAUUAAUAUAAUAUUAAAACUUCAUAUCUUAGUUAUUUUUUUCAAUAAAUUUAUCUUUUUGGAUAUAUAUAUAUAUAAUAGAGUAAAGUGAUAGUCAAUUUUAAAAUUUUUAAAAAUAUGGUUAAUGUAGAAAAUAUAAAAAAUAUUUCAAUGAAAAAUCCCAAAAUUUUUAUCAUUGCUUAUAAUAAGAGCAAAAAGAUUCAAUAUCUUUAAAAAUGAAAAACAAAAAAAACAUUAUUACUUUUUAUUUGACAUAAAAUAGAAAUAUAGAUUGGAAGAAAAAAAAAUUAGAAAUGAGUAAUACUUAAUAGAGAAUAGAAAAGGGAAAAAAAAACACAAAAAAAUUGAAAUUCAGACUUACUUGUACCUAUAUAAGGGUUAAGGGUAUUUUAGGGAUUAAUGAAGAAUAAUAUCUUUUAUCUUAAUUUUCAUACUUUGUUUGGGUCUUGGGCUUAAAUAUGCAUGAUAUAUGGACCAAAUGUUAAUUUUUGGGCCCAACUGGACCCAAAACACAAUUCUCCCAUAAAGUAACGUGAAUUUGAAAUAAUUGAUUUGGAAUCCUAUCACCUAGAAAAUGAUUACUCCUUGGGUUAUAAAUUAAAAUGAAUUUGAAAAAAUUCAUUGGAUUCUCAUUACUUUUUUAAAAGGCUGAAUUUGAGUUGACCCAAAAUAAUUUACUUCCAUCAAAAGUAAAUUAUAAGAAUAAAGGCAAGAAAAAAGAAAAUUGGUAUGCACCAUUUAUCUUUUUACUUUGGAUUGGAUAAAUUUUGUAAAAUCAUAUUUUCCUUUUACUAUAUUUUGUAAUGUUAAUAGCAACUAACUUUCAAAAUAAUGGAAAUUAAUUUGUAUAUAAGCUUAUUUGAGUACUUCCAUAUUUUUUUUAUAAUUGAGAAUUUUUUAAAGAUUUUUUUUAAGUAUUAGCUUUUAUAUUUAUUAUUAUUAUUUUUCAUAAAAUAAUAAAUUGUAAGAAAAGAGGAGAAGAACAAGAAGGAAAAUUUAUAAUUUUUUAAUUUAUUUAGAUAUUUAUAAAAAAUAAGAAAAAGAAAAUUAAAUUGUUGAAGCUUCCCAAGCUUUUUGACUGUUAUCUAACAAAUAAUAAUAAUAAUAAUAAUAAGGAACUUCCUUAAAGCAAUGUUAUCAAAAAAUAGAAUCACAUUAGUUAAGCUCAUUUUUUUCUAAUAUAAUAAUAGCAAUUAUAGUUACUUUUUUUUUUUUUUAUUCAACUUAUUUUAAAUAGGGCGUGUGCUUAUGCAAUUAUAUUUAUUUAUUUUUCUAGAAAGAUUAAUAUAUUUAUUUAUUUGUUUAUUGUGGUUAUCUCAAAAUGAUGUCUUAUUUUCUAUUUAAAUAUUGGUAUAUAUGAAAGAUAAAGUUUAAGUAUUCAUUAAUUACGAAUUCAAUUCAACUUACUCCAAUCCAAAUUUUACCCAUAUAACCCAAAAAGCUUGUCUAAUAUGUUAGACCCGUCCAAAUUAUAGUCUUAAUUUUAAAGUCAUAUUGAUUGGUUCAUCCGUUUAUAAAAACAUAGUUAAAUAAAAUUACUUGAAAAUGAAAUUAGUAUUUAGGGCAUUGUAUCAUAAACUUGUACAAAAAAUCCUUCUGAGAAUUAGAUUUUGGUACAGUUAGAUUUUGAAGAGUUUCAAGCCAAUCAAUUUUUUUACUUUUUAUUUUUGAAAGUAGGGUAGAUUGGAAUUUUGUUAUUUUUCAUUAAAAAAACUAAAAAGGCAAAGUGAAUGCAAUACAUUAAAAAAAAAAAAAAAACUUAAUCCUAAUUAUGAAAUCUAAACCUAAUAUUUAUUUAUUUGAAAUGGGUUAGGCGUUGGUGAAUAAUUGAACAUCAUGUGAAGGUUUUUAAUUCAACAUGUAGUGAUAUUGUCAUUUGCCCCCUUCUUUUCUAACAAAAUAAUUUGAUGGAGUUUAAUCCCGAUUAUGCUCGUUAGUAAUCUUAUAAUAUCUCAUAUUUGUGAUCAAAACAUAAAUAUUCAUAUUCAAAGUUUGUAUGAUACGAGAAAAUGAGAAGAAUUAUGGAGACAUGUUUUAAAGUUAGGAACCAAAAAAGAGUAAUUUGAAUUUGUAUUCUUGCUUUUCGUAAUAAUCAAUCCAUGCAUUGAACUCAUGUGUUCAAGAUUAAACUAAUCUAACCCUAUGUCCAAUCCAAACUAUCCGAUCCAAGCUCAACUUCUUAUCAUUCCCAUGACACUCAAAAGCAACAAUAUCAUAUACAAAUAAAUUGAAAUUUAUGUAAAAUAUAUAUCACGUUCAAAUUGGCCUUAGGUUGUCCAAAACCCAAACCCAAAGCCCAGUUUAAUUUAAUUAGAGCAAUAAUAAAAUAAUUCCAAUAAUUACAAUUAAUUUAUAGCAAUUAAAUAAAAAUUUCACAGGAGUAAAAAUUAUUUCCAAUAAAUAUAUUAUAAAGUCAUGUAAAAGUUGCUAGUUACCCCUCUAGUAAAAAGUAUACAUUUAUUUAUCCCACUUUAAAAAAAAUGAUAGUAGUGAAAUCCAUGAACAAAAUUUAAUUAUCAUAUUCUUAAAAAGCACCCAAGAUCCCAAACCAUGAAUUAUAUUUAGGGAUGAUAAUAGGGUGGGUUUAAGACGAGUCGCCCCAUCCCAACCCCGUCCCAUUUAUUUAAAAUAAUUUUCAUCCCCGUCUCAUUUAAAAAAUUAAAUUGGACAGGGCGGGCCGGGAUGGGUAUAAGCAACUCCCUGCCCCGCCUUCGUUUAAUUUUUUUUUUUAAAUUACUUUUAAUAUUUUAAUUACAUUAAAGUAAAUAUAUUUUAUAAAUAAUUAAAUUAUUACAUUUUUUAUGACUUAUUUUAUUAAAAAAUACUUUAUUAUUAUCUAUAGUAGAAUAAAAAUUAAUUUAAUUUAAUUUUAAAAAAUAAUUUUAUAUACAAUUGUAGGGUGGGAUUGGACAAGGCAAUACCUGAACUCAUCCCAAACUCAUCUUGGGUUUAAAAAAAAAAUUUCAAAUCCGUUUAGUUAAAAUUCAAACAUGUUCCAUUAGGGGCAGGAUGGGUACUCGAAAAACCCGUCCCAUUGUCAUUCCUAAUUAUAUUACACCUCUGUGAUCAAAUAAAUAAAAAGAUACGUUUAAUCACAUAUUUAAUUAAUUUUUUAAAAAUAAAAGAAGUUGGGUCGUUGGACCAAAGCACAAAAGUGAGAAGCGCAUAUCUGAGCCCAUUAAAUUUGGGCUUUAACAUUGCCAGUAUGUUAGCCUACAACAAAUUCAAACUCCAAACUCCAAACUCCACCGUCAGAUCCCCAGGCACCAUCUAUGCGUAUCUCUCCCUCUAAACAAUCUCCUCCAUUUUCACGCCAUGCAUAAAGCAACAAUCCCGAGAGAAAAUAGUCUCUCAUUGCUAUAUAUAUUGUCGGAGACUGAUUUUCUUGCCUAAUUUGGAUUUUAAAAUUUCAUGCAUCUCAUUUUGAUCACAAACCUGAGAAAAGCCCCAUAUAAAAAUAACACAAGUAUUACAAAAUAAAUAAGUAUUAAAAAAAAAAAAAGAAUUAUGAACAAAUCUCAAUAUCAAAUAUGAACAACAAACACUAGAUUUAGUGGUUCACAAUAAUUUUAGGUAUGUACGUCAACAUAAGAACGAUAAAGUACAACAAACUAGAGGAGUAGAAUAGAAUACUCAUUUUUCAUCCAAAAUGAUUCCAUCAAAGUAACAAAUUAUGCCAACCUUAUCAUUGAAGAAACCUAAAAGAACAAGUACUAGAAAGGUUGUGAGGAGAUUUGAGCAAUAAUUGUAGUGAACGAAAGUUGAUACUAGAUUUGAAUUCUACUUCUAUUUAAAAGCUAAAUGCACUUCCAUGGCAUGCAAAGAGAUUCCAAAAGCUUUAAAUAAACUGAAUGGUUCUUUGAAGCAUGAUUGAAGCUUCUAAAAGUGUCAAAAAUAGAGAUUCACAAAGAAUUUUGAAUUCAUUCUUCCUUUCUUAAUCAAACCCUCUCUAGGUCCAUAAGUUGUACUAAAGAGCUUUUGAAUGUCAACAAUGAAUGACAAGGUUAUGAAAUAUGAGGUUAUCUUCCACUAAAAAUCAUUCCAAGGAUAGUUUGAUUAAACUUGAUCCACACCUAUAAUGCCCCUAUAAAAAAAAAAAAAAAAUAGAAUUGAGUCAGUUUAAGAAUGAUAGCUCCUAUAUUGACAUGUAAACGGUACCAUAAAAACACUCGUAACACACCUUUCAUGCACAUCUUGAACAUGUAGAUCAAUCAUCCAAGAUUGGCUUCUCCCACUAUUUCAAACUAUUGAAGGUUUUGGACAUACAAAGCACUCCUUUAGGAAACUUUACAAGUGCCAUCAUAGAUCUUCUGCUCUUGAGAUACUUGAGUUUGAGGAAUACAAAUAUAAGGAGCAUCCCCAAAUCCCUCAGGAACCUACGGCACCUUGAGACCUUGGAUCUUAAGCAAACUCUGGUAAAAGAGCUACCCAAAGCAGUCUACAACUUGAUAAACUUCGCCACUUGCUGGUUUAUGCCUACAAUAUGGGAAGUGUUGUAACUUUUGACGCCGUUUAAGGGUUCGCUGUACCGAGAAAGAUCGGAGCAAUGAAGAACCUGCAAAAGCUAUCAUUUGUAAAGGCGAGAAGGCAGAACAGAAUGAUACAGGAGCUCAAAAAUCUGACAAAGCUGAGGAAGCUGGGCAUUGUAGAACUAGCAGAAGAAGAUGGCAACAGCUUGUGUCACUCAAUUGAGAAGAUGCCGGAUCUCCUUUCCUUGGAUGUUACCUCCCUUAGUAAGGGGGAGCCUCUGGAGCUUGAUCCAAUGGCCAACCCCCGCGUCUUCUUCAACGCCUGUAUCUCAAAGGGCACUUGCAAAGGUUGCAAAGUGGGUAUCUUCUCUUCAUGACCUGGUGAGAAUACGCCUAAAAUGGUCCUUAUUGUCCCAAGACAACCCAAUUGAAGCUCCUCAAGAUCUCCCAAACCUGAUGGAGCUGCAGUUACUUGAUGCAUACACUGGAACCCAGUUGGACUUCAACUCGGGAAAAUUUCAGAAGCUUAAGAUAUUAGACCUUGAGCAAUUGAAACAGCUGAGGUUUAUCAUAAUGGAAGAUGGCACAUUGCCUUGCCUACAAAAGCUGAUCAUAAGGCAAUGCAAUGAGCUGAAACAUGUCCCCGUAGGUAUUGACGGGCUCCAUCAUCUUAAUGAGCUGCAC